rnacentral:lncRNA from 1 species
CAAAAUUGUCUUUCAUACUUUCAAUGUCGGAAGUUGUACCAAGCAUUUUGCUUAAAUGUCUUUUAUGUCUAUCAUAUUGGUUUUUUCGAAACUACACCAACUGGGGAUGCAGUGGUGCUAUGCAUAAUGUUCGAGCAGGUUAAGAAUCACAUGUUUAUGGUAUGAUUAAGCUUUUCUCAAUGCUAUUGUUGGCUUACAAAUAUAUGUGUUAUCAUUGCCUUGAAUAUAAAAUGUGAUGUGUACCAUGUCACAGUUAAAAUUUUUGCCUUCCACUUCGCACAGAAACCAAUUCUACUAACGUUCACUAACUUGUAGCUAAAAGAAUUCCCAAUAUUGUUGAGAUCAUUUGAAAUGUGUAGGUGAUGUCAAGUUUGCUAUGUUUCUAUUGUGUUUGUGGGCUGCUAAAGGAACAUUUUAUUUCUCGAUAGAACAUGCAAGGUUAUUUGGUAUUUGUUUUCAGUCUGCAGCUUCCCACUUAUCCAUCAUCUAUCAGUCUUUCUGGUUGACGAUAGUUAACAUAUUUUUAAAUUUUCUUCCAACUGUACCACGAAGUUCAUGGCACAUUCUAGAUCUCUCUUGGACCAAUGAAGUAAAAGUGUGUUAAUGUCAAUGAGGGAAAAAAUAAUCUAGAAUUUCAAUGAUGGGUCCUAAGGACACUUAAUAAUUCCACGCUCUCGUGGAAGUUUCUUACUUUUCACACCCCUAAUUAAAUGAUAACAAUUAUAGGAUUAACAAAAACCAAUUCAUCUAAAAAUCCAUUUCUGUACUGCUACGAAUAUGCAAGUAAAGGGUUUAUACUACAUUGAAUGAACAGUAGCUAAUGAUAAAGACAGAAAUAGGGUAUUUCCAGCUUGUUCAGUGCCUAGAAUAUAUUGUCACAAUUGCAAAAUUUAAACAUGCAUAUGUUCACUGGUGCAUUGAAUACAGUAGUGCUUGGACCAUCCCCAUCGCAGGUGAGCUUGCUUAAAUAUUCAUGGCUUGUUUGUUAUUGUUCAGUGCCAUAUAAAUACUUGAUGCACAUUUAUAUUUGAUUUUCCCCAGGACAUGACAUCCACACUUACAAGUUCUACAGUUGUUGCAAAUGUGCUACUUAAUGUCUACCAUGUCGUUGGAGGAAUAAUGACCAUGUCGUUGGAGGAAUAAUGCUUGUCAAGGUAACCCAUUUCGUACAUUACAGAGUACAUAGCUGGUUGGCUAUGUAAUGACCGCUAGGUGGUCCAGGUGGUUUAGUUUUUUGUCCAAUUACACCUUUCACAUUUACCCAUUAAUUCAAAAGAAAUGUGCCAUAGCCAUUAUGUAUGGCACAUUAUUGCAAUCAAACUUUCGUGCA